rnacentral:rRNA from 1 species
CGUCUAUAUACGUAUAGCAUAUCAAUAAGCGGAGGAAAAGAAACUAACUAGGAUUCCCUCAGUAACGGCGAGUGAAGCGGGAAAAGCUCAAAUUUGAAAUCUUCAAGGUUCUACCUUGACGAAUUGUAGUUUAAAGAAGUGUUUUCUGUUGGAAUUUUGGUAAAAGUUCUUUGGAAUAGGACAUCAUAGAGGGUGAGAAUCCCGUAUUUGACCAUUAUUUCCAACUUUGUGAUACACUUUCAAAGAGUCGGAUUGUUUGGGAAUGCAGUCCAAAAUGGGUGGUAAAUUUCAUCUAAAGCUAAAUACUGGCGAGAGACCGAUAGCGAACAAGUACCGUGAGGGAAAGAUGAAAAGAACUUUGAAAAGAGAGUUAAACAGUACGUGAAAUUGUCAAAAGGGAAGCGUUUGACACCAGUGUUGUUUUCUCGAAAAUCAAUUAAAAAUGGCGGGAUUUUGUGUUGUAUUGACUUUAUCAGCUUUCUGCACUUUUUUCUUGUCUUUUUUAAUGCACUUUUCGUUUAACAAGUCAACAUCAAUUUCUUUUGUUGUAAAAGGGUCAUUGGAAGGUGGCUUUCUUUUCGGAGAAAGUGUUUAUAGCCUUUGACUUCUGCAAUCGGAGAGAUUGAGGUCUGCAGCGUAGAUCCUUCGGGGUUAGAUGCAUUUGUGCUAAGUUAUAGCCUUUCAUAGACAACUUGUUGACUAUGAUCAGUCAUGUAGCUUACUCGCUUAUGUCAUUUUACCUACGCUUAGGAUGUUGAUCUGUAGUGCGUGCGC